CCUACGGGGGGCUGCAGUGGGGAAUAUUGGGCAAUGGGCGCAAGCCUGACCCAGCAACGCCGCGUGAAGGAAGAAGGCUUUCGGGUUGUAAACUUCUUUUCUGAGGGACGAAGGAGGUGACGGUACCUCAGGAAUAAGCCACGGCUAACUACGGGCCAGCAGCCGCCGUAAUACGUAGGUGGCAACCGUUAUCCGGAUUUAUUGGGUGGAAAGGGCGGGUAGGCGGGACAGCAAGUCAGAUGUGAAAACUCAGGGCUCAACCCUGAGCCUGCAUGUGAAAAUGUUUGUCUUGAGUGCUGGAGAGGCAAUCGGAAUUCCGGGUGUAGCGGUGAAAUGCGUAGAUAUACGGAGGAACACCAGUGGCGAAGGCGGAUUGCUGGACAGUAACUGACGCUGAGGCGCGAAAGCGUGGGGAGCAAACAGGAUUAGAUACCCUAGUAGUC
rnacentral:rRNA from 1 species